CUAGGAAUCUUGGGAAUGGGCGAAAGCCUGACCCAGCAACGCCGCGUGGGCGAUGAAGGCCUUCGGGUCGUAAAGCCCUUUUGCAGGGGACGAUGAUGACGGUACCUUGCGAAUAAGCCACGGCUAACUACGUGCCAGCAGCCGCGGUAAUACGUAGGUGGCAAGCGUUGUCCGGAUUUACUGGGCGUAAAGGGCGUGCAGGCGGUUUGUUAAGUGCAGGGUGAAAGCUCCCGGCUCAACUGGGAGAGGUCCUUGCAUACUGGCAAACUCGAGGGAGGCAGAGGAAAGUGGAAUUCCCGGUGUAGUGGUGAUAUGCGUAGAUAUCGGGAGGAACACCUGUGGCGAAGGCGGCUUUCUGGGCCUUACCUGACGCUGAGACGCGAAAGCGUGGGGAGCGAACCG
rnacentral:rRNA from 1 species